CCUACGGGGGGCAGCAGUGAGGAAUAUUGGUCAAUGGGCGUAAGCCUGAACCAGCCAAGUCGCGUGAGGGAUGAAGGUUCUAUGGAUCGUAAACCUCUUUUAUAAGGGAAUAAAGUGUGGGACGUGUCCUAUUUUGUAUGUACCUUAUGAAUAAGGAUCGGCUAACUCCGUGCCAGCAGCCGCGGUAAUACGGAGGAUCCGAGCGUUAUCCGGAUUUAUUGGGUUUAAAGGGUGCGUAGGCGGCCUUUUAAGUCAGCGGUGAAAGUCUGUGGCUCAACCAUAGAAUUGCCGUUGAAACUGGGGGGCUUGAGUAUGUGUGAGGCAGGCGGAAUGCGCGGUGUAGCGGUGAAAUGCUUAGAUAUCACGCAGAACCCCGAUUGCGAAGGCAGCCUGCCGGGCCAUGACUGACGCGGAUGCACGAAAGCGUGGGGAUCAAACAGGAUUAGAUACCCGUGUAGUC
rnacentral:rRNA from 1 species